rnacentral:tRNA from 7 species
CGGGAUGUGGCGCAGCUUGGUAGCGCACCUGACUGGGGGUCAGGGGGUCGCAGGUUCAAAUCCUGUCAUCCCGACCA